CAGGUAGUCUAGUGGUUAGAGUGUAGAGGCGGCAGGUAGUCUAGUGGUUAGAGCAUUGGGCCAGUAACCUGCAGGUAGCCUAGUGGUUAGAGUCUAGUGGUUAGAGUGUAGAGGCGGCAGGUAGUCUAGUGGUUAGAGUGUAGAGGCGGCAGAUAGUCUAGUGGUUAGAGUGUAGAGGCGGCAGGUAGUCUAGUGGUUAGAGUGUAGAGGCGGCAGGUAGUCUAGUGGUUAGAGUGUAGAGGCGGCAGGUAGUCUAGUGGUUAGAGUGUAGAGGCGGCAGGUAGUCUAGUGGUUAGAGUGUAGAGGCGGCAGGUAGCCUAGUGGUUAGAGCGUUGGGCCAGUAACCUGCAGGUAGUCUAGUGGUUAGAGCGUUGGGCCAGUAACCUGCAGGUAGUCUAGUGGUUAGA
ensembl:lncRNA